AAAAAGUGUAAAGAAUGAGACAAUGCUGAAGAAAAUGUUUCUGAAAGAAAAGAGCAAAAGAAGCGUAAAACAAGUGACAAUCAAGAUGUUGAUGAUACAACAAAAGCUAUGCCACGAAGAAAGAAGAAUAAAGCUGAUAAUGUUGGUGAAGUAAAAAGGAAAAGUGAACGAAACCAUGCUCCAUCAAUUCACACUCAGUGGCCUUACACGGCUGAGAAGAAAAGGCACCCAAUUGUUCAUCCCU